rnacentral:rRNA from 1 species
CACGCUGUAAACGAUGAGUGCUAGGUGUCGGGGGUCAAACCUCGGUGCCGCCGUUAACACAUUAAGCACUCCGCCUGGGGAGUACGUUCGCAAGAAUGAAACUCAAAGGAAUUGACGGGGACCCGCACAAGCAGCGGAGCAUGUGGUUUAAUUCGAAGCAACGCGAAGAACCUUACCUGGAUUUGACAUCCCUCUGACCGUCUCCUAAUCGAGACCUUUCCUUCGGGGACAGAGGAGACAGGUGG